rnacentral:tRNA from 1 species
GGGGGUUUAGCUCAGCUGGGAGAGCAUCUGCCUUACAAGCAGAGGGUCACAGGUUCGAGCCCUGUAGGUCCCA